rnacentral:rRNA from 1 species
UACAGAGACUGCAAGCGUUAUUCGGAUUCACUGGGCGUAAAGGGUGCGUAGGCGGUUCUAUAAGUCAGUGGUGAAAUCCGGCAGCUCAACUGUCGAUGUGCCAUUGAUACUGCAGAACUUGAGUACAGACGAGGUAGGCGGAAUUGACGGUGUAGCGGUGAAAUGCUUAGAUAUCGUCAAGAACACCGAUAGCGAAGGCAGCUUACUAGACUGUAACUGACGCUGAUGCACGAAAGUGUGGGGAUCAAACAGG